GGUCGGAAGUUCAAGUCUUCCCAGGCCCACCACACUCAUCGAGUGAGCAUUCGUCUUCUGGUUACGGGGCCAUAGCUCAGCUGGGAGAGCGCGUGCUUUGCAAGCAUGAGGUCGUCGGUUCGAUCCCGUCUGGCUCCACCAGAUGGUUUGAUUGCCGGCGCAGCUUGCACCUAAAUCGUCCGCGAAACAUCACUUCGCACUUGCUAGUCCGGAUGGACAGUGAGUUGCGUGUUUUCUGACAUUGUAAAGAGGAGAUCGAUCCGAGUUGGAUCGUGCAGAGAAUAUCUGCGCGAGACUUCAUUAUCUCCGGAUCAUUUCGGCGCUCAUGCGUCCUUCAAGGUAGCCUUCGGGCCGCUUCUGAAAGACACGCGAGUUGUAAAUGAUCCUUUUAGCGAAGCUUGACCGCCUCGCUAUCGGAACGAUCUUACGAAGCAAGCUGGUCUUUCUAAUCAUUGUCCGGCUGUACGUAGCGUUCAUCGAGGGCGCGCGCCGCAAGGCAAUCGUACAGACAACAUUCUGCCGAGUGUGUGGACAUUGAUAAUGAGAGC
rnacentral:tRNA from 6 species